rnacentral:misc_RNA from 1 species
UAUGUGCCCUUGCUUUCUUGUUGUGCUGUGCUUCUAUCGCCGCGCUUCCUUGAAUGAGAUGCCACAAGACGAGAAGGCCUAAUAACAAGUCCGUUACCUACACGCAUCUCCAUCUCCCAUCUUCACCCGAAGGCUAACAUACGGUGCGUGUGCGUGUAGUGGCGGAGGGCCGGCUGCAGCGCACGGCCUUCGCUGCUUUUCGAUUUUCUUCUCAUCAAGCGUCACUGCAGCUCUUGCCUUGUCGGCUGCAACUUUGGUGAACGUGCGUCUCCGCACUGUCCUCGCGGGCUGUCUUCGCCGCGCCGCAGUGAUGCCCGCACGAGAGAAGGCCAUUGUUCUCAUCGACGGGCCAGCCUUGGUUCACCGGUGGUACCACCGGUGGAGCUACACAGCUGAGAGGUACGGCACGUCUAUCGAUGUGAAGCAGUUCGCCAUCAAGAACGCUCGCUUCAUGAUCGCAACGGCCCAUAGCUUUGAUCCGGCACACAUGGCGCAGCAUCUCCUAUCUCCGCAGACAGAGUACACGCACACACCGAAGCACAACAGAAUCAUCGUCUGCUUUGACCAUGGCGACGGAGGCCGGCGCCAGAUCUACGCCGACUACAAGGCGAAUAGGCUGGAGAAGACCGUCACACCUGAGUUUCGGUUGAUUGAGAGAGUGGCGAAGAAGGUGUUCGCUGACGAGCCGCGAGAGUCGCUUCUUGUAGUCCCAGACUGCGACGCGGGGCUGACGAACCUCAACGCGGAGGCCGACGACAUGAUCGCCACCCUUGCUUUUUUCAACCAGCAGAGCAGAAGGCCCACGGUCGUGAUGUCGCACGACUACGACCUGUACCAGCUUGUUGACGAGGCGAAGAAGAGCUACCAUUACGACAUCCGCACAAAGCAUCUCGUAUCGGAGAGGGGCGUGAUUGAGCGCGUCGGGGUGCCCCCCAAACUGGUGCGCGACUUCAAGUCAUUGGCAGGUGAUUCUUCCGACAACAUUCCCGGCGUCAAUGGCAUCGGCAAGGUGCGCGCGCGAAACCUCUUGAAGAAGUACGGGAACUUGGAUGGCAUCCUUUUCAAAGGCAUCAAGAAGGAGACCGGUCACCUUGGCGAGCUACUCAACGAGGGAGCCAAGAUGGCGUUGAUUUCGCGUCAGCUGGUAGACUUCCGCAUGUGCCCUAAGGUGAUCAAAGUGUGCGAGUCGUUUAUGAGAAUGUGAGCGUCUGCUGCAGAAAGAGACGAUGGCCGCAAGAUGCUUGCCGGUGCAGACGUGGUAAUGUGGGCAAGGGGUGGUGUGUGGGGCCCCUAAAAGGGAACGCUGUAGGUGAUUUCAGCCAGUACCACAAGGCGAAACUGCAGCAGCGCACACGUGGAUGCCCGCCUCUACACCCCCUCAGCACCACAUCUGCGGCCUUGCGUUCCUUCAGAGCUUAAUGUUUUUCAUCACAGCCGCCCCUAGUUUUCUCAUCACCUCCCUCACACUGCACACACAACUCGCGUCUCUCAAAGGCGUUGCUUAGUUGCCUGCCUCAUAGAAUGACCACCACCACUACCGCUGCAGCAGGGGCGACAACGACCUGUGCUAAAGGCAGAAGCAUAUCGCCACGGAGUGCGAGAGCUUAGGGGAGGCCAUGCCAGGUGAUGGCGCCACGCGUAUUACCUGUCAAGCCAUAGAUCUCCCUCGCCUAGUCGUUGCGUGGGCAGUUGCUUAGGUGUGUGUGUGUGUGUGUGCGUGCUUGCGCGUAUCGUUUGCAGGCCCUUGUCUGCAUGUUGCUGUGCACGAAAGAAAACAAGGUGUGGGUUUUGCUCUCUAUAGAUGACAGCAUACGAGAAGCGACACGUAACAAGACAAACGCCGAGGAUGCACGAGAGUGGAG